GUUCUUCAGGGCAAAGUGGUUCAUCAGAGCUUCAGCAUCCAGAGCUCCUUCACUCAGAAAGUGCGGCUGCAGCAGAUCCGCUCGCUGACUGAAGACAUUCGCUUUUAUUAUAAGCGGCUGCGCAACAACAAAGACGAGCUGGAGCCCAGACGGAAAUCCAAAGUGGCUAAUAUUUAUUUUGACGCCAGCUUGCAGUGUGGUGAUCACUGUUAUGUGGGGCUGCCAUUUGUGCUUAAAUCGGAGUCGAAGCCUCACGGUCUGGCGCUUCAGGAAGACAUCUGGGACGCAGACGUAGACCUUCAUCAGAAACUCCUGCGCAGAUGGAAAGAGCUCAAAGAGCGCUCGGGACACAAGUGAGUUUAGACUUAGAGCUCACCGAUUAUACAAAA